GUUAUAACAGCAGCAAACACUAACCCUCGCUAGCAGCCUCCUGGAGGCCGAGGGAGAUAGAGGCACUUUGGAGAAAUUUGAGGCCACGCCAGAUCAGCCCCGUGGAUUAACGUCACCCCCCGUGCACAGGAAUUCGAUCUUGCUUCUGCAGGCAGAGCAGAUGGGAAAAGGAGGAAAGGAGAUAGUCAAGGAUACUCAGCAUGAGUAUCCGGCUCAGUCCAGCACGUCUUUUGAAUGGGAGAUAGUCUAGGGACGGAGCCUUCUGGUCCAGUCGGAACAGAACCUCACACCCAUCCCAGCUCUGUCACCCAGCAGCUGUGUGCCCUCGGAAAUGCCACCCUCCUCCUGCACCUGCCUUCUCACCUGCAAAAUGGACAUGGCCAUCCUUACCUCAUAAAAGGGCUGCAAGAAUUUAAUACAAUACCACGAGGGUAAAGUGCUUGGCCUAGAAGCCAGUUACUAGGAGCUCACACAGUGACAGCUGGCGUGAUCGCUGAGUGGUUCGGGACGGGCCAGGUGCUGAGAAGCCGAGACGGCAGGGCAUUUAGCCACGAAGUUCCUGUGCUCGUCAGAGACCGUGAGCAGCGCCAGGGCAGCGAUGAAGAGGUGAACCCAGAAGCUUCCCCCUCACAUGACCCGGGAGGAGGAGAGACACAUACUGUGAUAAAUAUAACAGAGUGUGCUCACUCCCAGGGCUCGUGCAAAGUGCGGGAGGGAUACGUCAGCUGGGAGGCACCUGGUUCAUGUUGCAAACUAAUCUCAGCUCAAGUUCAGAAGUUCAGAAGGCGGAAGGGAAGAAAGUGGGCAUUAGCGAAACUCCUCUGUGUUCCUGGACACGUCGCCCACACAAUGCUUAACGUGCAUCCUAGGACCCUUGUGAAGGAAGAGUUUCUCCCCCUCGGUCUGCAGAUUAGGACACAGAGGCCCUGAGGACCAGAUUCAUUGCUCAUGGGUAUCAGAAUCAUCUCAUUUUGACACCAAAACCUGGCAUCUACAGAUUCCAAGGAACGCAUUUCUGCUCUUGGGGAAGCUCAGACAGCCUCUUGUGCUGGGGCCAUCAGAACAUGACAACUCAUCUGCUCGGGGGAGAUCACUUCCUAUAAGGACAUGGUAGUCUUGGACUGAGAGAUCUGCAGGCAGAUUCGUGGAUGGGUGUACUGUUUGCUUUAGUGCAUACAUCUUCUUAAGCUUCUCCUAUUAAGCACUGGAAACCCAGCAGGGAAAAAAGGAGGCAGUCUCUGCCCUCAUUGUGCAUUGUUUAAAGGGAAAUGCAGAAAUUGAACUAAUGCUUCCCCCCCAACAACCAACUUCCAGCUGGGAUUAUUCCCUAAUAGCCGGAAAUAGGGAAGGGCUCAUCAGAGAAGGAUAGCGUGGUCUGGGGAAGAACAGCAGAGAAGGAUAACAUGGUCUGGGGAAGACCAUGUGUGGUGAAUGUUCCAGAUCACCAGCUCUGGGUCAGGGACUAGGCUGGAGGAGCACAAACUGAUGGAGGGACACACACCUUCCUGCAAGAUGGUCACAUCUGUUGAGAGCAAAAGGGAGAUUAUGUACAAAGUGCAAUGGGCACUAGGGAAAGGGAUUCAAGACCAUGCCUGGUAAAGCCAGGGGCUGUUGCAGGGAAGACAGUAUGCCAUCUGAGGCUUGAAGUCAAGCAGUCAGUUCCAGCUGGACAAGAUGGCAAGAAGGCAAUACACAAAAAUAUGGAGGCAUGAGAGAGCAUAGAACACAGAGAAUGCAAUGGGAGUCUGGUACUUGGGAAGCAAAAUACGAUGAGGAGAGGAGAGAAGGAGCAGGAUUUGGGAUGGAGAGGCAGCCAAGGGCAGUCCAGGGUGGGGGGGUCUGCAUGCCUUGCUGACGUGGUGUCACUUAUAUCCUUUAGAUGAGGGAGGAUCACAGAAGAACACUGUGAGUGGGUCAACGGGAUGUCCAGGUAGUCCUGAGAUGCUGUUCCUGGUGGUGUUCUCCUCCCCCUUCUGUUCCUUCUCCUCCUUCUCCUCCCCCCUCUCUCAUUCUCCUCUUCCAUCACCUCCUCCUCCUCCUUUCUCCUUUUUCAAUUGACCCUUGCUGAAUAUACUGUAAAAUUAUGAGUUUAGUCCUUUGUCUUAACAAGAAGAGAUUCUUGUGAACAACACAAAUAUAUUUGCAUAUUUGUCCGAA